CCAACUAUUCCCCAUCUCCCACAAAGGAUGGCCUUUAUAGGAGCUAGUAAGAAUUAACACACUGUUAAUUGUAGCAGAAUACAUAUGUUAUAGUAACAUAUGAAGCAGAGUAUAGUCAUGGGUGACCAGGAAUUGGUUGUCCAGACUUUAAAAAGAGAAAAUAAUGUAAAGGGUCUCAUUGAGUAACCUCUUGUACAGCUACUGUAUUUUCUGUAUAAAGAAUGUGAAAUUAUAAAUAUAGGGAUUUGUUUGUUCUUCAUGAUGAUUUUGUUAAAUGAUUUUCUGUAAAAGGCAUUGCUCUAAAGAAUGAAUGUGAGGUGUCAAUACUGAGAUACCUUCCAUUGGUAAACUGAAUGCUUAUUUAUUAGCAAUCAAUAUUGACCAUCCCAUAUUCUGGUGCUUUUCUUUACAUAUAAAAAAAACACAGCAUUUUUGUGUACUUGAUUGGAUUUGUGUGCCUAGUAUGUAAAAUCUACUAACCUAAACGUUACAUCAGAGCCUUUAUUGAAGCAUUUUCUAGGAUGAGGUAUGCUGCAGAUGGAAGUAUAAACCACCAUUAUGUAUGCAGAUCUGGCUAUUAUUACCAUAAAGCCAUGCUCGGCAUUGGCUUCAUCCCUGUGAUACCGUACAUGCAUAUUAAUGGCAUCAGGGGAUAGCGGUGAUUUUCCUUGCAUGUCGGGUAUUGGAUAUAAAUGAAAAUGAAAUCAUAAUUGAAUUUACAAAAAAUUUCAUGCAACAAUUAUUUAAACUGUGUUGACAUAUUUACAAUAUUUAGGCAAAAAGAAUCAAGGAGGUAAACAACUAAAAAUCAGCUGAUUUUGGAGGAAUUUCCAAAUUCUUACUGGUUACUGAACAACUUGGAAUUUUUUUUAAAGUUUUAGUGUUGUGGAAGUGCAUUCUAGUGCCUGUGCACCAUAACCUCUACAGUUCAGUUUAUUUAUGUUGUCAAUAGCCUCUGAGUGCCAUCCCCUGGAUUUCUGCCAAAUUCUUUAGAAAUGGAUCACUACCCAGCAGCUAGAGUCACACCUGCUCAGCUGUACGGAUAAUGCAACAUUGACACUACAUCAUUGCAGCUAAAGUAGGGGUGUCUCUUGGUGCUAGUGAGAGCCCUGCUUUUUCCCCCAAACAGUUUAGGAGGGGGAUUGUGCACAGAAACUAUUGUUAAGACAACCACUACUUAGACUGCCUUUUUUUUAUUAUGUAGUAGGCCAAGAAUAACUCUGGGAGGUUACACUUGCUAAUGUAAAAUAUAAAAUGAGCACUUAACUAGAUCCUUAGGUUUGAUUUUUCUGAUAUUCUUUUUACUUUGCAGCAUGUAUCUCUCUGCACAAAGAAUCACAUUACAUGUGAUGUCAUUUACUAGGAGAGUGGAAAGUUCAGUCAUUUUAGGGGUUAUAUAAAGACAUUGCUACCCCCCAGCCCUUUGUAGUACAGUUGUAUGGUGCAUAUAGGGUCUAUGAUGAUUGUGGCCAACACAAUGAAGACAAGGGGUUAUAAAUAUGAAGUCUCCAUGGUAACCAAUAAUUUAUUCCUGGUGAUUGCUUCAUUUUUAGAAUUGUACACCAGAAUUAAGUUUUACAUAAGCACAAUGUUAUAUUUAUUAUGUAUUGCAUAUAUUUAGAAAGGCAAAGUAAUCUGAUCCAAAGCGUUAGUCAUGAUCAUGUCUUUUGUCCUCUACUUCACAAGACCAUCACACAUUUAAUUAGGAAAUGUUUACUGAUGAAUAAGAUAAUGCUACAUGAUUGUAGUCCGUUACCUUAAUGUAAUAUAUAUGCUGUAUGCGAUCACCGUUUUAAAUGUUCAUAAUCUACACGAGAUCUAACCCCAUACCUCCAUUUUAUAAACCAUUGGAUUGUUUAUUUCUUAUCAUUUUUGCAAACAAGAAAUUGUAUUUCUAAAGAUUUAGUGAUACUUUCAAAACUAACCGAAAAUCUUUCUAUAGUGUACUUAAGAAUCUUUUUAAUGUAGUCUCAAUGUUUUUCCUCAUUCUUUGCAUACAGCCAGGUCCAGUACUGUACUUUUUAAUCCAUAAUGUAGCAUAGUUAACAAAGUUGUUUGCUUUUCACACACACACACACACACAUAUAUAUAUAUAUAUAUAUAUAUAUAUAUAUAUAUAUAUAUAUAUAUAUAUAUAUAUAUAUACAAAAAAAGAAAAGUCAUUAUGAUUUUGCUUUCCAGUUUUUACUUAACAAUUGCCUAUGUACAGACAUGAAGAGGGCUACUUGUAUUUUGGGAUUUAUUCCAUCUUUAGCUUGCUUAAUAUGUGAGAGACAAUUUUGAAAAGUGGUGCACCUUGAUUUAUUGUGGUAUAAAUUUACCAACAAAAAGCAUUCUUAAAUGGGACUUUUCCUACUCAGAAUAAACAUCUGGAGAUGAAGCAGUUUUAUGUUAAUCUGUCACCUUUGGCCCUUCAAUGUUCUGUCUAAAACUUGUAUGCAGUUGUCACUUGUGUUUGCUUCUGACAUCAUCGUGAUUCACACUAAAUCCACAUUGAUUAUAUUGUGAUUUAAGACAAUAGCAGACAUAUAGGUCAAAAAUACUGGCUAAGCCUUUCUUUAUGGAGUUAUAUGAUAUGCAUUUUCAGGAUAUUGGUGUUAAUGAUUUCAAGUAAGUGGCAACUGCCAAAUUUGUAAAACAGCAACUUUCUAAAAAGGACUGGGAAAAAUAGCAAAUUUGUGAUUACUUUUUGUCCAUGUGAUGGAAAAAAAAAUGAUUAGUCUCCGUAUCAACUGGUAUUAACUUCCUUUAUUGAGGUCUGAUGUGCAGAUCUUACAGUUUUGACACUUAAAGAUUUAAUAUCACUCCUCAUUUUCUCAAUGAUUCAAUACUAACACACACAAACUAAAACUUGUUUCAAUGAUGUAAGCUUAGAUUUUUUUUUCUUUUUGUUUCACAUAGUGUGUGUUCUCUUCACUGCUCAGAGCAAGUAAACUCAGUGUUAACAAACAUACAACUAGCAAUGCUGCUAUGGUAGACUUGCAUAUAUUAUUUAAAAUGAGCAUAAUCUUUAUAUGGAUUGAAAUUCAUUUUAGCAAAGCAUUUGUGUUAUAGGUAAGGGACUAGCAUAUGUUUCUUACGUAGUAGUGGGAUAUGAGUGUUUUUGCCUCGCUUGUCUAAAUGAAUUUUGUGCACAGACUUAUGCCAAAUGGUUGUAAUUGGCUUUAUUAUCCCCCUCCUUCAUUGCAUGUCUUUCAUUGUUUUCAUUUGUCACCAUUUUUCUAAACAAACUAUAAGGCCUUUGCAUACAAGUAGCUCGAAGGGGCUUUUUAUUUUUUUGGUUGUUCCCUACGUGUCUGUAUGUGAUGCCCAUCUAUGUCUGUUUUAAUUUUUUUUCUUCUGUUUUUCUGCAAUAUUGUUUCUAAGAUGAGCUUGUACAAAUUCCCAGUGUUAUUCAUUUUCCUUUUAUAGUAUGAAAAAACUAUUUAACACUUAAUGAUUGCUUUUAAUAUAAUUUUUCACAUCGAGCAUAUGGUACAGUGUGAUCAGUGUGCAGAAUGCCAAAACUGCUGCUGCUUUGCAAUUGUACAUAAUUCCCUUUUAUUGGUGGAUAAGACCUUGAGGCAAUCUUGUGUGUGUGUGUGUGUGUGUGUGUGUGUGUGUGUGUG
rnacentral:lncRNA from 1 species